CUACGGGCGGCUCCAGUGGGGAAUUUUGCGCAAUGGGGGAAACCCUGACGCAGCAAUACCGCGUGAGUGAAGAAGGCCUUUGGGUCGUAAAGCUCUUUUCUUGGGGAAGAUAGUGACGGUACCCAAGGAAUAAGCACCGGCUAACUCCGUGCCAGCAGCCGCGGUAAUACGGAGGGUGCAAGCGUUGUUCGGAUUUACGGGGCGUAAAGGGCACGUAGGCGGCACAGCAAGUUAAGGGUGAAAUCCCGGGGCUCAACUCCGGACCUGCUCUUAAAACUGCUGAGCUAGAGAUAGUCAGAGGCGGGUGGAAUUCCAGGUGUAGAGGUGAAAUUCGUAGAUAUCUGGAGGAACACCGGUGGCGAAGGCGGCCCGCUGGGGCUAUUCUGACGCUAAGGUGCGAAAGCGUGGGGAGCAAACGGGAUUAGAUACCCGGGUAGUC
rnacentral:rRNA from 1 species